CAGCAGCAAAACAUUGCUUCCACAAUCAAACAAUACUAACCCUCACUCUCCACAUUGUCUUAAAAGGUUUCAAAUCAGCUUACGGAGUUAAAGCCUGCCAUGAGUGAUGUGCAAGCUCGAAAGUUUUGGUAAGGAUGUUUUGAGAAGGAAACGGUGGUGAGGAGAAAACAAUAUAAAGCAUUGUCUUUAUAGAUGCAUGGCGGGUCUAUGGUAUACUUGCAUAUCUGAGAUUUAUUUUAAUUUUCGUAACAAUAAUUUUUUUUUUUUUUACAACAAAAGGCUAGAGAGAAACUAAGUAGAUUCCUGAUCCAAUAGCCACCUCGGAAGAAUCGAAUCAACAUAAACCAUAGCUGCAAGCUGAUUUUUAGCACCUCGUGCUAGCUUGUCCGCUAUUGUGUUCUGUGCCCUCGGAAUAUGCUGAAUAGUAAAGGGAUGAAAAAAUUCCUUACAUCGCAGAAACUCCUCCAUAUGUGUAGUGAACGCCGGCCAUUCUGUUGGUGUAGACACCAUCUUCACCAGUUGAGAGCAGUCAGUUGCAAACACCACUUCUGAGAUUCGUAGGGUCUUCAUACACUACAUCGCCCAUAUCAACGCUUCACAUUCGGCAUGUAAAGGUGAUAGACUUUU
rnacentral:lncRNA from 1 species